UAGGGAAUCUUCCACAAUGGACGCAAGUCUGAUGGAGCAACGCCGCGUGAGUGAAGAAGGCUUUCGGGUCGUAAAACCCUGUUAUUGAAGAAGAACGUGUGUGACAGUAACUGGUCAUGCAGUGACGGUAUUCAAUCAGAAAGUCACGGCUAACUACGUGCCAGCAGCCGCGGUAAUACGUAGGUGGCAAGCGUUGUCCGGAUUUAUUGGGCGUAAAGCGAGUGCAGGCGGUCUUUUAAGUCUGAUGUGAAAGCCUUCGGCUUAACCGAAGAAGGGCAUCGGAAACUGGGAGACUUGAGUGCAGAAGAGGAGAGUGGAACUCCAUGUGUAGCGGUGAAAUGCGUAGAUAUAUGGAAGAACACCAGUGGCGAAGGCGGCUCUCUGGUCUGUAACUGGCGCUGAGGCUCGAAAGCGUGGGUAGCAAACAGGAUUAGAUACCCUGGUAGUCCAC
rnacentral:rRNA from 1 species